GGGGUUGUGGCUCAGUGGUAGAGCACUUGUCUUUGCAUGUGUGAGGCACUGAGUUCAAUCCUCACCACCACA
rnacentral:tRNA from 1 species